rnacentral:rRNA from 1 species
UCCGAGUGGUGUGGAUGUUUAUUGGGCCUAAAGCAUCCGUAGCUGGCUAGGUCAGUCCCUUGUUAAAUCCACCGAAUUAAUCGUUGGAUUGCGGGGGAUACUGCUUGGCUAGGGGGCGAGAGAGGCAGACGGUAUUUUCGGGGUAGGGGUGAAAUCCUAUAAUCCCGGGAAGACCACCAGUGGCGAAGGCUGUCUGCUAGAACGCGCCCGACGGUGAGGGAUGAAAGCUGGGGGAGCGAACCGGAUUAGAUACCCGGGUAGUCCCAGCUGUAAACGAUGCAGACUAGGUGUUUGGACGGCCACGUGCCGUUCUAGUGCCGCAGGGAAGCUGUUAAGUCUGCCGCCUGGGGAGUACGAUCGCAAGAUUGAAACUUAAAGGAAUUGGCGGGGGAGCACCACAAGGGGUGAAGCUUGCGGUUUAAUUGGAGUCAACGCCGGAAAUCUCACCGGGAGCGACAGCAGUAUGAAGGCCCGAUUAAAGGUCUUGCCAGACGUGCUGAGA